rnacentral:rRNA from 1 species
AGAGUUUGAUCCUGGCUCAGGAUGAACGCUGGCGGCGUGCUUAACACAUGCAAGUCGAACGAUCCUUCGGGAUAGUGGCGGACGGGUGAGUAACGCGUGGGAAUCUGCCCUUAGGAGGGGGAUAACGGCUGGAAACGGCCGCUAAUACCCCAUAUGCCGAGAGGUGAAACGAAUUUCGCCUGAGGAUGAGCCCGCGUCUGAUUAGCUAGUUGGUGGGGUAAAGGCCUACCAAGGCGACGAUCAGUAGCUGGUCUGAGAGGAUGAUCAGCCACACUGGGACUGAGACACGGCCCAGACUCCUACGGGAGGCAGCAGUGGGGAAUUUUCCGCAAUGGGCGAAAGCCUGACGGAGCAACGCCGCGUGAGGGAUGAAGGCCUCUGGGCUGUAAACCUCUUUUCUCAAGGAAGAAGAACUGACGGUACUUGAGGAAUAAGCCACGGCUAAUUCCGUGCCAGCAGCCGCGGUAAUACGGGAGUGGCAAGCGUUAUCCGGAAUUAUUGGGCGUAAAGCGUCCGCAGGCGGCCUUGUAAGUCUGUUGUUAAAGCGUGGAGCUCAACUCCAUUUAAGCAAUGGAAACUACAAGGCUGGAGUGUGGUAGGGGCAGAGGGAAUUCCCGGUGUAGCGGUGAAAUGCGUAGAUAUCGGGAAGAACACCAGUGGCGAAGGCGCUCUGCUGGGCCAUAACUGACGCUCAUGGACGAAAGCCAGGGGAGCGAAAGGGAUUAGAUACCCCUGUAGUCCUGGCCGUAAACGAUGAGCACUAGGUGUCGGGGGAAUCGACCCCCUCGGUGUCGUAGCCAACGCGUUAAGUGUUCCGCCUGGGGAGUACGCACGCAAGUGUGAAACUCAAAGGAAUUGACGGGGGCCCGCACAAGCGGUGGAGUAUGUGGUUUAAUUCGAUGCAACGCGAAGAACCUUACCAGGGUUUGACAUCCUGCGAAUCCCUUGGAAACGAGGGAGUGCCUUCGGGAGCGCAGUGACAGGUGGUGCAUGGCUGUCGUCAGCUCGUGUCGUGAGAUGUUGGGUUAAGUCCCGCAACGAGCGCAACCCACGUCUUUAGUUGCCAGCAUUCAGUUGGGCACUCUAGAGAGACCGCCGGUGAUAAACCGGAGGAAGGUGUGGAUGACGUCAAGUCAUCAUGCCCCUUACAUCCUGGGCUACACACGUACUACAAUGCUACGGACAAAGGGCAGCAAGCUCGCGAGAGUUAGCAAAUCCCAUAAACCGUGGCUCAGUUCAGAUCGUAGGCUGCAACUCGCCUACGUGAAGGAGGAAUCGCUAGUAAUCGCAGGUCAGCAUACUGCGGUGAAUACGUUCCCGGGCCUUGUACACACCGCCCGUCACACCAUGGAAGUUGGCCAUGCCCGAAGUCGUUAC